rnacentral:rRNA from 1 species
GAACACGUGUGCAACCUGCCCUUUAUCUGGGGGAUAGCCUUUUCGAAAGGAGAUUAAUACCCCAUAAUAUGUUGAAUGGCAUCAUUCGACAUUGAAAACUCCGGUGGAUAAAAUGGGCACGCGCAAGAUUAAAUAGUUGGUGAGGUAACGGUCACCAAGUCUACGAUCUUUAGGGGCCUGAAGAAGGGUGAUCCCCCACAACUGGUACUGAAACACGGACCAAACUCCUACGGGAGGCAGCAGUGAGGAAUAUUGGACCAAUGGGUGAGAAGCCUGAUCCAGCCAUCCCGCGUGAAGGACGACUGCCCUAUGGGUUGUAAACCUUCUUUUGUAUAGGGAUAAGCCUACCCUCGUGAGGGUAGCUGAAGGUACUAUACGAAUAAGCAACCGGCUAACUCCGUGCCAGCAGCCGCGGUAAUACGGAGGGUGCAAGCGUUAUCCGGAUUUAUUGGGUUUAAAGAGUCCGUAGGCGGAUCUGUAAGUCAGUGGUGAAAUCUCACAGCUUAACUGUGAAACUGCCAUUGAUACUGCAGGUCUUGAGUGUUGUUGAAGUAGCUGGAAUAAGUAGUGUAGCGGUGAAAUGCAUAGAUUUUACUUAAA